UUGUGUUCUUUGUUCUAUUAACCCCAGUUCCUUCCCUCACUCUUCUAUAAACAUUUCUUACUCUAAACAAUCCCUAGAAAUUUAAAAGAAAAAUUUUAGGACUUCAAAUUCAAAUUUGAGUUCAAGCCAUAGUCUGUUUCCGGCUGAAUUGCUCUUCUGCAAAGUUAGGGGGUUUUUCCUCUUCUAUUACGAACUGAUUUCGUAUCGAUUGAUUUGGUUGCUUGGUUUGAUAUCAUUUUGCUCUUGCUGCCUUCUUUAUUUCGAUGUCCUGAUUUUUGGAACAUUUUACAAUUUGUUUAACCAUUUUUGCAAAUCUGGAAUUGAUUAUUUGAGUUGUUAACCAUAUAUAUAAGAAAUUUUGUUUAUAAGCUUCCUUCAAAUUAUUUGCGUAUUGCAUGACAGGGCACUUGGUUUCAAAUCCCAUAUUUUCUAUGUGUUAAUCCUUCUAUAUUGAAUUCUGUGUAAUUUUUGACUCUUAUUAAUGGAUUUUAUGAAGACUAAGCAUGUUUGCAUUCUUUGGGUUUGAUUCCCUUUUCCAAAUCAAGUCUUGAUUUUGAAUUUUGAACUAACAUAUUAGCUGUUUGCAAAAAUGACCAAGUGAAUCUCUCUUUUGUUUUUAUAUCAUGCAUAUAUCCUGACCAUGAUCUCAUCUCUUAAAUGAUUCAUGUUGAUUUCUAUUUUUAAUUGAUCCCUACAGAUUUACAAGUUUGUUUCUUAAAGAAAAGGUUGGAAUUAACAUUUUUGCUUUUAAAACGGUGGGCAUCAGUUGUUUGUGAAAUUGUUUAGAAAGCACCCAUUCUUUAGGUGCUACUGUUGACUUGAGUUCAAAGUCUAAUGAUAAAGAGGUUUCCAUUCAUCGAUUUCCUAUGAAGUAUAGUCUUAUUACUCUAUUUCACAAGUUUUAAACCUACUGUGUUACACUAAAACUUGGUUUGUAAAUUUUAUAUCAAUUUUUCCCUUAUGGUUCCAUUUCUUUUCCAAAAUCUCUACAUUUGCUUUAUUAUCAAAAUGCCUUGUCGGGUGUUUUUUCAUUUAUCGUAAACUGAUGCCAUGUUUUAGUUUUUCAUAAAUUAGACCUUGUCUUAUUGGAUGACUUGAAGCCAACCCAUUGAACUGCCUAUGCUACUAGCUUGAUUUGGUUUACCUUCCAUGUUGGUGCAACUCAUUUAAACUAGUACGAGCGGAGCUUGCAGCAGUAAACCGGGCAGAGCUUACAGCAGGCUUUAACGCGUCGAAAGUUAGUAUUUGUUGUUAUAAUAUGCGUAUAUCACGGGGUUGCUGGGUAGUUAGAAAAGCAAAACAUCCAUGCCUAUUUUCUUGUCGUUUUAUUUUGGUAUUGUAGGCUUAGCCCAUGUUUUGAUGUGAAUACAUAAGCUAAGAUGUUUGCAAAGUUUGUAAGUAAGAAUUCUGAAUAUGUAGUUUUCAUCGCUGCCAAUUCAUAUCUUUCUUAUUUUGUUUAGCUUUGAUGUACUGCAGACCUUACCUAUUUGGGGUUUCUACUUAUACGUUCAUCACUAAGUUAUGGAUUUACUUUCAUGUGUA